rnacentral:rRNA from 1 species
GGGGAAUAUUGCGCAAUGGGGGAAACCCUGACGCAGCAAUACCGCGUGAGUGAAGAAGGUUUUCGGAUCGUAAAGCUCUGUUAUUGGGGAAGAAAAAAAGACGGUACCCAAGAAGAAAGUCCCGGCUAACUACGUGCCAGCAGCCGCGGUAAUACGUAGGGGACAAGCGUUGUCCGGAUUUACUGGGCGUAAAGGGCACGCAGGCGGUUUUUUAAGUCAGAUGUGAAAGGUACCGGCUCAACCGGCGACAUGCAUUUGAAACUGAAAGACUUGAGUAUUGGAGAGGCAAGUGGAAUUCCGAGUGUAGAGGUGAAAUUCGUAGAUAUUCGGAAGAACACCAGUGGCGAAGGCGGCUCACUGGCUCGUAACUGACGCUGAGGUGCGAAAGCGUGGGGAGCAAACA